CAUUAAGAAGCUAUGAACCAGCAUUAGCCUUUUAAGCUAAAGAAAGAGGAACGCACUCCUCCUUAAUGG
rnacentral:tRNA from 1 species